rfam:Solanum lycopersicum cultivar Heinz 1706 chromosome 1, whole genome shotgun sequence.
GAUUCAAACAAGAAAAGCUUACGGUGGAUACCUAGGCACCCAGAGAUGAGGAAGGGCGUAGUAAUCGAUGAAAUGCUUUGGGGAGUUUAAAAUAAGCAUAGAUCCGGAGAUUCUUGAAUAGCGAAACCUUUUAAACUGCUGCUGAAUCCAUGGGCAGGCAAAAGACAACCUGGCGAACUGAAACAUCUUAGUAGUUAGAGGAAAAGAAAGCAAAAACGUUUCCCAUAGUAGCGGUGAGCGAAAUGGGAGCAUCCUAAAUUGUGAAAAUGGGGUUGUGGGAAAGCAAUACAAGUGUCGUGCUGCUAGGCGAAGCAUCCUUAAUGCUGCACCCUACAUGGCGAAAGUCUAGUAGCCAAAAGCAUAACUAGCUUAGCUCUGACCCGAGUAGCAUGGGGCACGUGGAAUCCCCUAUGAAUCAGAAAGGACCACCUUGCAAGCCUAAAUACUCCUGGGUGACCGAUAGUUUAGUAGUACUGUGAGGGAAGGGUGAAAAGAACCCCCACCGGGGAGUGAAAUAGAACAUGAAACCAUAAGUUCCCAAGUAGUGGGAUGAGCCAAGGCUCUGACCAUGUGCCUGUUGAAGAAUGAGCCGAUAACUCAUAGGUAAUGGCUUUGUUAAGGGAACCCACCAGAGCCGUAGCGAAAUCAUGUCUUCAUAGGGCAAUUGUGCCUGCUUAUUGACCCAAACCUGGGUGAUCUAUCCGUGACCAGGAUGAAGCUUGGGUGAAAUAAAGUGGAGGUCCGAACCGACUAAUGUUGAAGAAUCAGCGGUUGAGUUGUGGUUAGGGGUGAAAUGCCACUCGAACCCAGAGCUAGUUGGUUCUCCCCGAAAUGCGUUGAGGCGCAGUAAUUGACUGGACAUCAUGGUAUAAAGCACUGUUUAAGUGCGGGCCGCGAGAGCGGUACCAAAUCGAGGCAAACUCUGAAUACUUGAUAUGACCUCAAAAUAACAGGGGUCAAGGUCGGCUACUGAGACGAUGGUGGAUAAGCUUCAUCAUAGAGAGGGAAACAGCCCAGAUCACCAGCAAAGGCCCCUAAAUGACCGCUCAGUGAAAAAGAAGGUAGGGGUGCAGAGACUGCUAGGAGAUUUUCCUAGAAGCAGCCACCCUUGAAAUAGUGCGUAAUAGCUCACUGAUCGAGCGCUCUUGCGCCGAAGAUUAACGGGGCUAAGCGGUUUGUCGAAGCUGUGGGAUGUAAAAAUACAUCGGUAGGGGAGAGUUCCGCCAUAGACAGAAGCCUCCGCUUUAGCGGUUGUGGACGAAGAAGAAGGUAGAAUGUUGGCUAGAGUAACGCAAAAAUUGGUAAGAAUCCAAUGCCCCGAAAACCUAAGGGUUCCUACACAAGGUUCGUCAACAGAGGGUGAGUCUGGGCCUAUGAUCAGGCCAAAAGGCGUAGUCGAUGGACAACUGGUGAAUAUUCAUGUACUACCCCUUAUUAAUCCUGAGGGACAGAGGAUGCUAGGUUAUCCGAAAGAUGGUUAUCGGUUCAAUAACAUAAGGUGUCCUUGAUUUUCUAGGAUAAGAACGAGUAGAAAAAUGCGUCGAGCCAAUGUUCGAAUACUAGGAGCUACAACACAGAAGUAACCAGUGCCAUAAUCUCAGGAAAAUCUCGAAUGACGUUAAAUAAGAGGGUACCUAUACCCGAAACUAACACAGGUGGGUAGGUAGAGAAUACUUACAGGCACAAGACAACUCUCUCUAAUAAACUAGGUAAAAUAGCCCCGUCACAUCUAGAGAAGGGGUGCCUUCUCACAAAGGGUGUCGUAUUGACCAGGCCCGGACGAUAGUUUACCAGAAACACAGGUUUCUGCAAAGUCGUAAUACCAUGUAUAGGGGCUGACGCCUUCCCAGUGACGGAAGGUCAAGUAAGUUGGUGACAUGAUGACAGGGGAGCCGGCGAUCGAAGCCCCGGUGAACGGCGUUCGUAACUAUAACCGUCCUAAGGUAAUGAAAUUCCUUGCCGGGUAUGUUCUGACCCGCACGAAAGGCGUAACGAUCUGGGAAUUGUCUCGGAGAGAGGCUCUGUGAAAUCAACAUGUCUGUGAUUAUGCGGACUACCUGCACCUGACAGAAAGACCCUACGAAGCUUCAAUGCUCCCUGGGAUUGGCUCUGGGCCUUUAUUGCGCAACAUACGUUUAAGGCGAAGAAGGCCUCCUUCUUGGGGGGGGGGGGGCGAGCAACAAGUGAGAUACCACUCUGGAAGGUCUAGAAUUCUAGCCUUGUGUCAGGACGUACGGGCCAAGGGAUAGUCUCGGGUAGACAGUUUCUAUGGGGCGAAGGCCUCCUAAAAGGUAAUGGAGGCGUGCAAAGGUUUCCUCUGGCCGGACGGAGAUUGGCCCUCGACCGCAAAUGUAGAAGGGAGCUUGACUUCAAGACCCACCCGUCGAGAAGGGAGAAAAGUUGGCCUUAAUGAUCCGACGAUACCGAGUGGAAGUGUCGUGGCUCAACGGAUCAAAUUAACUCUAGGGAUAACAUGCUUAUCUUCCCCAGGAGCUCACAUUGACGGGAAGGUUUGGCACCUCGAUGUCGGCUCUUCGCCACCUGGGGCUGUAGUAUUUUCCAAGGGUUGGGUUGUUCGCUUCUUAAAGGUGUAGGUGAGCUGGGUUAAGAACGGCGUGAGAUAGUUCGGUCCAUAUUUGGUGUGGGCGUUAGAGCAUUGAGAGGACCUUUCUCUAGUUCGAGAGGACUGAGAAGGACACACCUCUGUUAUACCAGUUAUCAUGCCCAUGGUAAACUCUGGGUAGCCAAGUGCGGAGAAGAUGCUGAAAGAAUCUAAGUAGUAAGCCCACCCCAAGAUGAGUUCUCUCCUAUUUCGACUUCCCCAGAGCUUUCGGUAGCAUAGCCGAGACAGCGACGGGUUCUCUGCCCCUGCGCGGAUGGAGCGACAAAGUUUUUUUGAGAAUUCAAGAGAAGGUCACAGCGAGAUGAGCCGUUUAUAAUUACGAUAGGUGUCAAGUGGAAGUGCAGUGAUAUAUGCAGCUAAGGCAUCCUAACAGACCGAUAGACUUGAACCUU